GGGAAAGUGGCUCAGUGGUAGAGUGUUUGCCUUGCAUGCAUGAGGACCUGGGUUCGAUUCCUCAGCACCA
rnacentral:tRNA from 1 species